GUCCAGACGGCUGAGGACUGGGAAGAAGUGAAGAAGAGCCCUGAGGGGAGGCAAACCUCAAAUAAAAUAAGACACAGGAAGUUUCUGACAUUUGCUCAAUGGAAGACAAGAUUCAGAAGUCUUGGAUUGACCAUUUGAAAAGAAUUCAACAGAAAUCAUCAUAAUCGAAAAGAAAGUUCCCUAAUGCUCUCUUUGGCAUUAAAGGGAUAGUUCAUUGAGUGGGGUUGUAUGUGGUACUUAUGCAUAGUUAUUAUGUUACCUUAUGGAGAUGGUGAUCAGCGAUGUCAUUUAACGAAGUUUGCAGGUGAAGUGGAAGAAGCGAAAGGCGGAGUCCCACUGUUGUCGAGGGGCCAAUCGAAAAACGUCUUUUUCCGCACAUUUUUAAAUGCUUACCUUAAAAAAAAAUGUAUCCGUUCAAUUGUAUGCUUGAGUUCCCGGCCAUUUAUUACUGCGCCAACUCGCUCUGCACUGGCGCGAGUUGGCGCAGUAAUACAUGGCCGAAGUACCCUUAAAAAAAAAGUGCAAACCAAAACGUCUGUCUGCCGGGAAACUAAAGCAGUGAAAAAAUGUUUUUACUUAAGCGUACAAUUGAACGGAUAUAUUUUUUUUAGGUAGGCAUUUAUAAAUUAGCGGUGGUCCCCUCUGCAACAGUGGGACUCAGACUAUGGCUUCUUCCACUUCACCUCUAAACUCCGUUAGAUGACAGCACUGAUCACCAUCUCCAUAAGGUAACAUAUUAACUAUGCAUAAGUAACUCAUUUAACCCCUCUUCAAAAUCACUCAAAAAGCAAGGUAGGCACUCGCCUACUGUGCUGCGAAUGGUUCAGGCCCUCCUAUUUUUUUAAAUAUAGCACCUUCUUUUACUUUAUUACUAAUAGCACUUGAAGCUUUCUUUGCCUAUUUCAUGAAUGUUUAUGCACUUUGUUAACUUUUGCAGUUUGAGUAAUAUCCCCAUGUUCGAAUGCACUUAUUGUAAGUCGCUUUGGACCAAAGCGUCUGCUAAAUGAAUGUUAUGUAAUGUAAUGUAAUCCCUUUAAAUAUUUACUUAUGUUCCCUUUCUACCCUGUUUAUAUACAGUCUAUGCUUCUACCACAUACUAAGUACCACACACCGUCUACAUCAUAUGUGUACUGCUUACACUAUAGUGCUCUGCUGGAUUCAUGUUCUUAUGAAUUAUUUGACAAAAUGUUAACAGAAAAAUAAAGUCUUUAAAGUUUA